AGGGGUCUCAAGUCUCUUUUUAGACACUGGAUCCUAAACUUUGGUGAUAUUGCUUUGGGCUCAUCAUUUAUUUUUUUAAGGGUAAGAUCAGUGGAGUGGGCAGUUGCUAGGUCCCAGCUCACCCUUUUGCCACACAGUUUAUGCUCCCGGACUCCUGUCCGUCCAUUGAAC